AUUGAACGCUGGCGGCAUGCCUUACACAUGCAAGUCGAACGGCAGCACGGAGCUUGCUCUGGUGGCGAGUGGCGAACGGGUGAGUAAUAUAUCGGAACGUACCCAAGAGUGGGGGAUAACGUAGCGAAAGUUACGCUAAUACCGCAUACGAUCUAAGGAUGAAAGCAGGGGAUCGCAAGACCUUGUGCUCCUGGAGCGGCCGAUAUCUGAUUAGCUAGUUGGUGAGGUAAAGGCUCACCAAGGCAUCGAUCAGUAGCUGGUCUGAGAGGACGACCAGCCACACUGGAACUGAGACACGGUCCAGACUCCUACGGGAGGCGGCAGUGGGGAAUUUUGGACAAUGGGGGCAACCCUGAUCCAGCAAUGCCGCGUGAGUGAAGAAGGCCUUCGGGUUGUAAAGCUCUUUUGUCAGGGAAGAAACGGUGAAGGCUAAUAUCCUUUGCUAAUGACGGUACCUGAAGAAUAAGCACCGGCUAACUACGUGCCAGCCGCCGCAGUAACAC
rnacentral:rRNA from 1 species